rnacentral:rRNA from 1 species
CAUGGCUCAGGAUGAACGCUGGCGGCGUGCUUAACACAUGCAAGUCGAACGAUGAAGCUGGUGCUUGCACUGGUGGAUUAGUGGCGAACGGGUGAGUAUCACGUGAGUAACCUUCCCUUGACUCUGGGAUAAGCCCGGGAAACUGGGUCUAAUACCGGAUAUGACCGGCCUCCGCAUGGGGUGCUGGUGGAAAGCUUUUGCGGUUUUGGAUGGACUCGCGGCCUAUCAGUUUGUUGGUGAGGUAAUGGCUCACCAAGGCGAUGACGGGUAGCUGGUCUGAGAGGAUGAUCAGCCACACUGGGACUGAGACACGGCCCAGACCCCUACGGGAGGCAGCAGUGGGGAAUCUUGCACAAUGGGCGAAAGCCUGAUGCAGCAACGCCGCGUGCGGGAUGAAGGCCCUAGGGUUGUAAACCGCUUUCAGCAGGGAAGAAAAUGACGG